rnacentral:pre_miRNA from 1 species
UAACUUACCAAAUUGAGCUGGUGUUUUUCUUGUUGCUUUCACCAGUCAGUUUUGUAAGUUACC